GAUGAACGCUGGCGGCGUGCCUAAUACAUGCAAGUCGAACGAAACUUCUUUAUCACCGAGUGCUUGCACUCACCGAUAAAGAGUUGAGUGGCGAACGGGUGAGUAACACGUGGGCAACCUGCCCAAAAGAGGGGGAUAACACUUGGAAACAGGUGCUAAUACCGCAUAACCAUAGUUACCGCAUGGUAACUAUGUAAAAGGUGGCUAUACUACCGCUUUUGGAUGGGCCCGCGGCGCAUUAGCUAGUUGGUAGGGUAAAGGCUUACCAAGGCAAUGAUGCGUAGCCGAAUUGAGAGGUUGAUCGGCCGCAUUGGAACUGAGACACGGCCCAAACUCCUACGGGAGGCAGCAGUAGGGAAUCUUCCACAAUGGGCGAAAGCCUGAUGGAGCAACGCCGCGUGGGUGAAGAAGGUCUUCGGAUCGUAAAACCCUGUUGUUAGAGAAGAAAGUGCGUGAGAGUAACUGUUCACGUUUCGACGGUAUCUAACCAGAAAGCCACGGCUAACUACGUG
rnacentral:rRNA from 1 species